UCCUUUUAUGUAGAUUUGUUCUCAUAAUCGCAAUUAGAAAGGAAUUAUUAUCUGCGAUAUUACUAUGCUGAGUUUUUCAUUUUUCUGUGAAAUUUGUUCCUUUUAUGUUGAUUUGUUCUACUGUUUUUUUUUUUUGGUGUUUAUGUGGAUUUGGUGGAUGAUCGCUUAUUGGUAAUUUGGUGUAUCUUGCUUGUUCCAGGUUGUCCAUGUGUGAUGUUUCGAGAAUCUGGGAGGCAUAGAUUGGAUUUUUUUCUCCUGUUUCACUAUCAGCUAUUGAGCAGUUGGAUGGUUCAGAGUUUCUUUCAUGAUGAUCCGACCGAUUACUCUGGUUAUACUCAUGCAGCAAAGCCUGACUGGAUCAAGAUUAUGUGGAGCGGCACUCGAGCUUUGGGCUCUGAUGGCAAUAUUAAACAUCUAGAACCAUUUGCCUGUGGUUAAUUUGUAAAUACUCUUGUUCGUCCGUGUGAGUGUGUGUGUGUGUACAGUAGAUUACAUAACAAUAUAAUUGAGUCAACGUAGUAUCAUCGAAUGGUUGGCUCACAUUGGAGAAUUUUGGAUUUUGCUUUGUGGCAUAUUGUGUCUUCCGUUUGUGAACUUUUAGCUAAAUUUGUGAAAAUACUAUUUUGCUCUAGUCAAGAAAGGUUAUGCUGCUGUUACACAAGCGGCAGCUGUUGCUUCCGGGCAAAGGGAGAUAUAAAA